rnacentral:rRNA from 1 species
CUCUCCGGCUCGUCACACUUCCUCCCAGCGGCCGCUCCUCCGCCGCCGCGACGUUCGUUCCUCACUUCCAAAGUUGAACCUUUCCUUCCGCCUUUGUCCCCUUUACACCGAAAACCAUUCCCCCACCCCGCCCCUCCAACUAUAAAGGCGUCUUCGUCUUUUAAACCUUAGCGAAGUCGGUUUUUUGACCACGCGUUUCACAGUAGUCUGUGCCAGGGAAUAAGUCUCGCCCGACACCUGACAUCGUCAGCGUGGAAGAGUGCCACGAGGUUCUAUAAAACACGACGUAGAGUGUGCCAAGCAAUAUUAUUUGACACACCCUAGAUGAACUAAAAAGUAGAACUAAACUUAAUGUAUUACCCCAGUGUCGCCGGUACCUGCCACAAACUUAACGAUCUGGAAAAUAGACGUCACUAGUAUUUUCUUAACCUUAAUAAGUCCCAAGCAAACCUGUAAAAAUACGCAAUUCAUUCAAAAGUUACGUAAAUACACGUAUUAAGUUUAAACUUGAUGUACGUGUACGAGGUCACGUAUAUUUAACCAACUUUUUAGUUUAGAAACAGGAACCAACGUACGAAUCCAGGGUACGUUCUUUACUCUUACUUAAAGAUUGUGGUCCCGUGGCAACUAACGGCCGUUUUGUAACUCUACGGACCAAAAUUUUAAGAUCGUUUAGGUUUUGAGCGGACUUUAAGUACUUUGAACCGUACGAUAGUACGUCGCCGUAGUUGUACCACACCAUUUCAAAAACAGGGUAAACCCCGUCCAAACCCAUACACGAAGAGUGUUUGGUCUCGAAGAGUGUUGUUCGUACUACCAAAGCCAUCCCUUGCGGGGUUGAAACCCCCGCUUUGCUAUAGGUAACGGAGAAUAACGAAAGUUUAAAAAAGGGCACAGUUGUAUCUUAUUGUCCUCACAACACAAUUAAAAAGACUAAAAAGCACCAAGCAAACCUGUAAAAAUACGUAAUUCACUCAAAAGUUACGUAAAUACACGUAUUAAGUUUAAACUUGAUGUACGUGUACGAAGCCACGUAUAUUUAACCAACUUUUUAGUUUAGAAACAGGAACCAACGUACGAAUCCAGGGUACGUUCUUUACCCUUACUUAAAGAUUGUGGUCCCGUGGCAACUAACGGCUGUUUUGUAACUCUACGGACCAAAAAUUUAAGAUCAUUUAGAUUUUGAACAGACUUUAAGUACUUUGAAUGUACGAUAGUACCUCGCCGUAGUUGUACCGCACCAUUUCAAAAACAGGGUAAACCCCGUCCAAACCCAUAUACGAAGAGUGUGUGGUCUCGAAGAGUGUUGUUCGUACUACCAAAGCCAUCCCUUGCGGGGUUGAAACCCCCGUUUUACUAUAGGUAACGGAGAAUAACGAAAGUUUAAAAAAGAGCACAGUUGUAUCUUGUUGUACUCACAACACAAUAAAAAACACUAAAAAGCCCCAAGCAAACCUGUAAAAAUACGUAAUUCACUCAAAAGUUACGUAAAUACACGUAUUAAGUUUAAACUUGAUGUACGUGACGAGGCUACGUAUAUUUAACCACUUUUUAGUUUAGAAAACAGGAACCACGUACGAAUCCAGGGUACGUUCUUUACCCUUACUUAAUGUUUGUGGGAAGGUGGCAGUGAGUUGGCGUUUGUAACUCUAUGGACCAAAAAUUUGAGAUCAUUUAGGUUUGGAUCAGAUUUUCAGUACCUUGAACCGUACGAUAGUACCUCGCCGUAGUUGUACGGCACCAUUUCAAAAACAGGGUAAACGCCGUCCAAACCCAUAUACGAAGAGUGUUUGGUCUCGAAGAGUGUUGUUCGUACUACCAAAGCCAUCCCUUGCGGGGUUGAAACCCCCGCUUUGCUAUAGGUAACGGAGAAUAACGAAAGUUUUUUUUAGAGCACAGUUGUAUCUUGUUGUCCUCACAACACAAUAAAAAAUACUAAAAGCCCCAAACAAACCUGUAAAAAUACGUAAUUCACUCAAAAAUUACGUAAAUACACGUAUUAAGUUUAAACUGAUGUACGUGUACGAGGCCACGUAUAUUUAACCAACUUUUUCGUUUAGAAACAGGGACCCACGUACGAAUCCAGGGUACGUUCUUUACUCUUACUUAAAGUUUGUGGUCCCGUGGCAACUAACGGCCGUUUUGUAACUCUACGGACCAAAAAUUUAAGAUCAUUUAGAUUUUGAGCAGACUUUAAGUACUUUGAACCGUACGAUAGUACCUCGCCGUAGUUGUACCGCACCAUUUAAAAAACAGGGUAAACUCCGUCCAAACCCAUAUACGAAGAGUGUUGUUCGUACUACCAAAGCCAUCCCUUGCGGGGUGGAAACCCCUGCUUUGCUAUAGGCAACGGAGAAUAGCGAAAGUUUAAAAAAGAGCACAGUUGUAUCUUGUUGUCCUCUCAACACAAUAAAAAAAUUAAAAAGCCCCAAGCAAACCUGUAAAAAUACGUAAUUCACUCAAAAGUUACGUAAAUACACGUAUUAAGUUUAAACUUGAUGUACGUGUACGAGGUCACGUAUAUUUAACCAACUUUUUAGUUUAGAAACAGGAACCCACGUACGAAUCCAGGGUACGUUCUUUACCCUUACUUACAGUUUGUGGGACGGUGGCAGUGAGCCGGUGUUUGUAACUCUAUGGACCAAAAAUUUAAGAUCAUUUAGGUUUUGAGUAGACUUUAAGUACUUUGAACCGUACGAUAGUACCUCGCCGUAGUUGUACCGCACCAUUUAAAAAACAGGGUAAACCCCGUCCAAACCCAUAUACGAAAAGUGUUUGGUCUCGAAGAGUGUUGUUCGUACUACCAAAGUCUAUCUUGUGGGCAUACGUUUUACUCUCGUCCUAAACACGUAGAGAACUUGUGUUUACCAAGCAAACCUACUGGGCACACUUGGUGAAUGUUUGUUAAACCACGCUAAACGUAGACAGUAUAACCCAUACAGCGGUAAACAGUUUGAUCUUUCUAACUGUAAACAACUAGAUCAUUGUAACGGUAAACGGUUGGAACAUUGUGACGCUAAACAGUUUUAUACUUCGAUUCUUAGUGAUCGUCAUAGAUUAAAAACGUUGAUUUUAAGUCAUUAAUUCGCAUCUACCUCCGCUCCUCCGCACAAGUCGGUCCGUACGUCGCCCGCCGCGUCAUGAUAAGCUAAACUGUCGCCCACCGCGUCAAGGGCUAUGCCGAAAUUACGUCUGCUCCCUCUCCCAUCGCCAAGGGCUUUACAACUUGCUGGUUACUCCGUAGGAGGAAGUUAAUCGUAGCACGCUUACGUACUCCCUUCAUUACCCUCCUGGCCCUUUUCUCCGUCGUGCUACACUUACGUUGCGUCAAACGUGAGUAUAUUUCCGCGGGGAGGUAAGGUUACGUAGAUGGUGUAGCAUGCGUGGAUUCGUAAACGGAUUCGUGGAUGUGAUUAUUCGCGUUUUCACGGGUGAGGUCUGGGUACCGCCGCUACUCGCGCUAGUCGGUUGCCGACACGGUCUACCAGGUGCUACGGCCGGACGCCGUACCGUGGCACCUAGCACAGGUAUGCCACAACCGCUGGCCGACCACCUACCAGCAGCAGCUGCGGUCGAUGCUGAGAGUCAACCUGGUCUACUAGCAAGCGUGGUGGUUGUCCAAGCGGCAGCAGUUCUUCGAGUACCUACUGUAGCGGCAUGAGGAGGUCGGGCGCGCGGGCCCGAGGAGUAACGGACGGUGGGAUUAGCCGGAGGUACCAGCCUUGGAGAAAGUUCGUGAUCGCCGGGACGCUGACGGGUGGCUGCGGUGCUUCUUACAGGUGGACCUCCAGCGCGAGCGGCGCUCCGCGGAGGUAAACGUUCUUUAGUAGCUGGAUGUGUAGGUACACAUGCUCGCUUAGCACAUGUAUCCAUAGAUGUUCCGAUCACUCCUGCGAUGCUGCAACCGGAAGAAGUCGGCCGAUCUUCGGAACCUACGUAACCAACUCUUCGUGGAACUGGAGCGGUGUGUUCGGUGGCGAGGAAUCGGUAGCCAGCUACCGGACCGGCCACGUGACUCAACUCCUCCUCCUCCAGCAUGCAACUACCUACGUAGAAAGAAGAACGGACAACAUUGGUGGUGACGCUAGCGUAGUAGCAACGGAAUUAAGAAUAAAACGAUAACGUAAGAGCAAGGUCAGUUAUGUCUGUACACGCUAGGGAAACGAGUUAUGUCUGUACAAGCAAGAUCAGAAUAAAACUAACCGAACUUACUUCCAGAUAGGGUAGCAAUCCGCGGCGUCGCGCGAGACGAGCGAAGGCAGCCGCGCGAGCCGAACACCUGUCGAAAAGGAACGCACAAGUUGACGAUAUACGUAUAUAUAUAUACCAACGAGCGGCAACUCCGCUGGCGCCUCGCGAGACGAGCGCAGGGAGGCACGCGCGAGACGGUUGCCAACCCGCACGCGUGCUAGUACAGCCCCCGGGGCAUACGUACGCCAACACGGCGCGCGCAACGGUGCGCUACGUCAAUGCACGCUGUGCUACCUCAAUGCGCGACGUUUAAUCUUGACGGUAGUCCCGGACGGCUAUAAGGACCGGCAGGCCGAAGGGGAAAUUAAGGGCGCCGGUAAUAUUGGAAUCAGAGAAGUGGGAAAACUAGCGCGGGGUGUUGUGUUGUUCGUGUGGGUGCUACUGUGUAUCUCUCCCCUACAGAUCGCCGCGAGGUUACCUCAAGCCGCUCGUAUCUCACCUCUGGUUGCGUUCCCUCUGCCUAGAGAAUCACCACAUGUGGUAGCUGGGCCGGCACCACCUGCUGAUGUAGUUGUCGCAACUCGUCAACGAACGAGCUCUAUUCAUGUUCCACCAGCUGUAGCUGGAGGUCAUGUGACAGCCAGCAGGGCCGUAUCUAGUCUUCCAACGGCAGCGGAUCAACACACACGCGGUAGUACAGGAGUAGAUGGUGAUGACGUACCGGUGUCUCGGAACGCUGGCAAAGUUGUCCAAACAGUUGUCGUGGCUGAUGUUCAAACGGUGCCACCUUUGGUUUCUGCUACAUUUUCGCGAGUCACAAUGCCCGAACCGGACGUUCUUGGAACAGCUUUAGGUACUGGUGAUGUCACAGACCCCGUCGUGCUUCGUCCUGAGGGACCAGCUUGAGCGGAGCCGGUAGUAACUGGGGAUGAUACUUUUCUACUUCGUCCUACGGGUCUCUUGUUCAGGGCAUAGGACCGUGUUCCGGACCACGCCGUUGACCUACUUGGAGUCGAGUCCAAGCACCGGUUCUCGCACAUGUGUACGAUACUCUACGUGUUCGCCUAGCAACUGUACUCCUUCACGGAGCAAUGGGUUUAGCUACUCGGGUCUAGCUCGGUGUUCGUCUCGUUCGCAGUGUUCUCUACACAUGUGUGUUCGAUUGGUUUUCCUCGUCUUUUCCCCACGUGUGUUGUACAGACGAGCAAUUAUUGUUCAGUCCUCCCCCGAUAGGUUCCUGCUCUUUCGACCCUUCGAGCGUAACGUCGAAACCGAAUUCGACACUCGUGAAAAAGCAGUCUCUUCGACAUCAAACUACAAAACCGGUUCGUUACCCGACAACAUGGUGUUACCACAAGGAUUAACAACCGAGAAGGUAUAUCUUCGAGACUUUGUUUUACUCUACCGGAGUUUAAUUCCUGUCAAUUUGGUCGACGAGGCUCUCCCCUACAACUCCUAUUGCUGUUACUGCUCGUUCAGCCACAAACACUUCGAAGCGGACUCGGUAAGGUCGAGAAGGUCUCCGUGUUCCUCUCGGAUUUCAGUCCCAUGCAAGUUAGCUCCUGUGAACUAAGAGGUUCUUAAACAACUCCUAUUGUUACCGUUGCUCGUUCAGCCGUAAACGCUUCGAAGUAGUCUCGGUAAGGUCGAGAAGGUCUCCGUGUUCCUCUCGGAUUUCAGUCCCAUGCAAGUUAGCUCAUGUGAACGAAGAGGUUCUUAAACAUAUUAGUAAUCUUCAGGUUUCUUACUCAGUUCGGUUUCUAUACUUUUACCUUGUGUAAACGCGAGGAUGCUCUUCUUCCAGCGCGUUGACUCCUAAGUCCUGCGGUUGUCACGCCUCGACAAGCGGUAACUCUCCUGGUCCCGACGGUAGUCCCUGUAGACCUGGUUCAAGUUGUAGAGGGAACGGAGGCAGUUGCGGCCGCUGGCUGAGAUGUUCGCAGAUCGACACGAAAUACUGUACUACUUACGACGGUAGCGAACGAAAACUCGUGGAUGUUCAAUGGGACAACGUACAUUAGAGAUUCUGACGGUGAGUAGUCCGAACGUACGCGGACAAUUAUGGUCCCGAUAUUGUUGUGAAAAUACACAUAUAUGAGUCAAGACGAAGGGGGGAGACAAAAUUUACUUAAGGAAGCAUUUCGUUCAACUAA